rnacentral:rRNA from 1 species
UACGUAGGGUGCGAGCGUUAAUCGGAAUUACUGGGCGUAAAGCGUGCGCAGGCGGUGAUGUAAGACAGAUGUGAAAUCCCCGGGCUCAACCUGGGACCUGCAUUUGUGACUGCAUCGCUAGAGUACGGCAGAGGGGGAUGGAAUUCCGCGUGUAGCAGUGAAAUGCGUAGAUAUCUGGAGGAACACCGGUGGCGAAGGCGGCAUCCUGGACCAACACUGACGCUGAGGAGCGAAAGCCAGGGGAGCAAACGGG